rnacentral:rRNA from 1 species
AUGAACGCUAGCGACAGGCUUAACACAUGCAAGUCGAGGGGCAGCGGGGGUAGCGAUACCCGCCGGCGACCGGCGCACGGGUGAGUAACGCGUAUGCAACUUGCCUAUCAGAGGGGGAUAACCCGGCGAAAGUCGGACUAAUACCGCAUGAAGCAGGGGCCCCGCAUGGGGAUAUUUGCUAAAGAUUCAUCGCUGAUAGAUAGGCAUGCGUUCCAUUAGGCAGUUGGCGGGGUAACGGCCCACCAAACCGACGAUGGAUAGGGGUUCUGAGAGGAAGGUCCCCCACAUUGGUACUGAGACACGGACCAAACUCCUACGGGAGGCAGCAGUGAGGAAUAUUGGUCAAUGGCCGAGAGGCUGAACCAGCCAAGUCGCGUGAGGGAUGAAGGUUCUAUGGAUCGUAAACCUCUUUUAUAAGGGAAUAAAGUGCGGGACGUGUCCCGUUUUGUAUGUACCUUAUGAAUAAGGAUCGGCUAACUCCGUGCCAGCAGCCGCGGUAAUACGGAGGAUCCGAGCGUUAUCCGGAUUUAUUGGGUUUAAAGGGUGCGUAGGCGGCCUUUUAAGUCAGCGGUGAAAGUCUGUGGCUCAACCAUAGAAUUGCCGUUGAAACUGGGGGGCUUGAGUAUGUUUGAGGCAGGCGGAAUGCGUGGUGUAGCGGUGAAAUGCAUAGAUAUCACGCAGAACCCCGAUUGCGAAGGCAGCCUGCCAAGCCAUUACUGACGCUGAUGCACGAAAGCGUGGGGAUCAAACAGGAUUAGAUACCCUGGUAGUCCACGCAGUAAACGAUGAUCACUAGCUGUUUGCGAUACACUGUAAGCGGCACAGCGAAAGCGUUAAGUGAUCCACCUGGGGAGUACGCCGGCAACGGUGAAACUCAAAGGAAUUGACGGGGGCCCGCACAAGCGGAGGAACAUGUGGUUUAAUUCGAUGAUACGCGAGGAACCUUACCCGGGUUUGAACGCAUUCGGACCGAGGUGGAAACACCUUUUCUAGCAAUAGCCGUUUGCGAGGUGCUGCAUGGUUGUCGUCAGCUCGUGCCGUGAGGUGUCGGCUUAAGUGCCAUAACGAGCGCAACCCUUGCCACUAGUUACUAACAGGUAAAGCUGAGGACUCUGGUGGGACUGCCAGCGUAAGCUGCGAGGAAGGCGGGGAUGACGUCAAAUCAGCACGGCCCUUACAUCCGGGGCGACACACGUGUUACAAUGGCGUGGACAAAGGGAGGCCACCUGGCGACAGGGAGCGAAUCCCCAAACCACGUCUCAGUUCGGAUCGGAGUCUGCAACCCGACUCCGUGAAGCUGGAUUCGCUAGUAAUCGCGCAUCAGCCAUGGCGCGGUGAAUACGUUCCCGGGCCUUGUACACACCGCCCGUCAAGCCAUGGGAGCCGGGGGUACAAGGAGUCCGUAACCGAAAGGAUCGGCCUAGGGUAAAACUGGUGA